CAGCGCAAGAAGGGACUCAAGUGUGGCCUAAACUUUGGUGUUGCUGUGUGUUUCUGAAGUUCAGGAAAAGGAAACAACACCUGGAAACCAAGUGAUUGAGGGUGAAAUUUCUAAAGGAAGGUGGCUUCAGAAACUUCUGAGAUUAACUCAUAAAAAUUUUCACAUCAAUAACAGCUGUGAGAAUGCUCAAUGAAGACUAAAAGACCAAUAAAAUGGCGUGUCUUUACCAUCUCUUGAAUAUAAUCACUACUGUAUUUAGCAAUUGAAUGAAUCUGGGCUAAAUCAUUCUCUCCUAAAGUUGUGGCAUCCAUGGAACUGCUGUGUAUUUAUACAAAUCAGAACAUGAAAACAGUUUUUGCCAGCUGAUAUUAAUGUGUACAGCUGUAGAAAACUAAUGCAUUGAACUGUGUGAAUGCUCUACUUUUUACACGUGAGAAAGCUGUUUUCUAAUCAAUGAAUGAUUUUCUGAUAUAACUUGCAGAAGAUGCAGAUUUUUUCAGGCAUCUCUUUGGGCCUUGAUAUGAAAAAGAAAAGGUACUUCUAAGGGCUACUCACUUUUUAUAACGAUUGCAUAUACUUACUAUGUGAUACUUUUCUUUAUCAUAAACAAUACAU